UUUGCAUCUAGACUGGUGUCUUCAUGAGGAAUAGCUGAACUGACUUCGGAUAUGGUCUUGAUAUCAUGAAGACUUUUCUUUCUACUAUCAACCAAAAAAAGUCUGGACUGCAAAAUUAAGGCCAGACAUCUAAAAGAUGAAUGUCAUGAUGUAUAUGUAAAGAAGUUAAGAUGGAACAAGGAGGAAAAACAAGUAUUUGGGAGAGAAAACUGUAAGUCCCCUGAUCUUGCCACCUUUUUCACUCAACGGCCUGAAAGGAAACAGAAUUCAGAGUCACUUUUAUUAGAAGAACUCGCAGGAGAAGGGGAUGAGAUGUCCCUACCCCCUACAAUCACACUCUGGAGAGGAAAAUGCUCCCAGCUGCUCCCAGAAAACAGG